AUCUUUAUUUUACCCAAAGGUGACUUACAGGAAUUGAAAGGGUUGGGCCAGGAUGAAGGGUCGACAGAUCAAAACAUGGAUUUGAUGGAGCUAAAUCCCAGCUACUAGAUAUUUACACAUGUACAUGUGGCUCAUAUUAUGUCUUUGUUGGAUGCCAAUGCUCUUGAGGCCUUUGCUGAAUGAAUUCAUGGGCUAAUCGAGCACCACGGAGAUAUUCAGGUCCACCUCUCAUUUCAUGAAUGAUGAUCUGAGAGGUAAAGUUCUCCCAAAUCUCACACCUGGCUGGACAAGAACUCUGGUUGGCCUGUGCUCUCAGCCCGUGGCAGUUCCAGGACACAUUUGGACCCAGUGAGCAUGAGGAGUUGGGACUCAAUAUAUCAGCUGGAGGGAGGCCCGAGGAUCCUAUUUGUAAAAACCGUAUUCAAAGCUGUAUUCCACAACCAAAGAUUUUCUCAGAGGUGGGCUGUGAGGAACAGUCUCGAGACGAAAGAAAUGUGUGAACAGACAGCAAAAUGGGGAACUGCAGUGACUCAUUGGGGCCCGAGCCAGCUCUUCCUUCCUCUUCUCAGAGCUGUGUUUCUGAAGUUUGAUGGCAUCUAAAGAAAUCUGUUGCCAUGCAGUAGUGAGACUCUCCAUGGCAACUUGAAGUCGGGGCCCCUCAGGACUCUGGGGGGGCCACGGUGAGCCCUUCUUCGAACUGCAUCCACCCUCCAUGGGAUGGGCUGCCUCAUGAGGAUCUCUGUCACCAGUGCUUGGGGAGCACCUCCAAAGAGACCCCCUUCUCUGCCCAUGUGGCCCCAUCCAAGACAGCUCCCGUGCCCUUCUGUCUUUGUCUUAAACCCAACCCAGCCAUCCUCAGAAGCUUCUUCCCAGCUGCCCCUUAUGUUGCCUCUCUCAAUUGUUUUGACAAGAAACACCAGCAGGAACAGUCAAGACUUGGAAGAAAUCUGAUUGAGUCAGAAAGAAGGGGGACCUUGGAUAAUGACAGUAAUAGUCACAACUUCCAAUCUCCCUCAAGCUUUAGUGUUCAGGACUCUGGAUCCCCUCACCAAGGCCACGGCACCAGAGAGGAUGAGAAGGACCGAUGUUGCAUCUCAGCUGCCCUCUUAGCUGACUAGCCGCAUGGAAAAAAAGCUCCUGGAUUUUGACUGGCUCUUCCACCUGCUCACCUGCUCCAGCCCUGAGGCAAGAAUGGCUGUGCUACCCAUGUCACCACACCUGGAGCACCCAGCUGCCCUUCCAGGACCAGCCUCAAAUCCAGAAGGAAACAGAAGAUUGCUGUGUAUCAGAAUCCUGCUCCUCCUCCUCCUGCACCACUACCGUCCACCCCCCGCCACCACCACUGCAGAAAAGCUGCUGAGCAAACAGAGAAAUCAAGAUGAUUAUACGCUGCUGGAAAACCGCGUGCUUCCGCCUGGCUGCGUCCCCCUGCCAAACUGUUAUGUAAGCCGUGGCCCCACUCAGGCCUGGAACCAAACAGAGGUGCCAUUGACAGCCUGUCCGUGACCUGCUCAUCACCCACGGCUUUCCCCACAGCCUGUCUCACCUGGAGCGAACCUGCCCCGGGGAGGGGAGGUCCCGAGCACAAACCGACAAGCUGCUUUUACAAGUGUUUUGGGAUUUCCCUCUCUCCCUUCCCAGCCAGUUCAGAGGCAUGGGGUGGGUCAGGACUAGGAGUUUACUUUGGCGGGAUUCCCAGUGCCUAAGACAUUUUAUACUGGAAAACUCCAUCUGACAAUCCGGGGGAGGUUAAAGCAGCAAUAGACCUAUGGCUACAGCACCGAUUCCCAAGCAAAGAGUCCCUGGGCCCAGCUGCUAAAUAUUUUCUGGAUGUGACUCUAGACACAGGCCUGGAGCAAUGGCCAUCCUGUCCUCGGGCUGAAGCACGUCCAAGAACAGGUGAGCUGGCGGGCUGAGCAGAGGAAGGUCCAGCCCAGCCUCUUAGCAUCCUGCCCUCAGAGAAGAUGUUGUUUCUGUCUCAGAGUGGUCAUCUUCAUGGACAAGGUUCUUCCCCUGCCAAGGGAACUGGUGCAGAGGUGAAAGACGAGGGAUUCAGAAAUGAAAACCCAUCGAGUGGAAGCAGAAGGCAGACCCAUCCAUCGCCUCUGGCUUCUGCCUUUUAAGCCCACAGCAAGUUCGCCUUGCCUUCCCUCCCUGGGGAGAUUAUUCUGCGGUUUUGGCACAAGACAACGACCUGGGAGAGAAAGCAAAGUCUAUGGAUAUGGUUGCCUUUUCUCCUCUAAGCCAACCAGUGCCUUGUUUUUCUGUGAGCCUGCCACUGUGGGAAAAUUGCGAGAGUGCAAAAUUUCCCUCUUUGUCCCCAGCGCACUUCAUUUACCCGUGAGCCAAGCUGGGAACAGAGCCGCCUCUCACAGGCCUCAUGAAUGACUCUGUUUUCUCAGGGCAGCUCUGCCCACCCAUUGUCUGACUGUCAUGCCCUCUUGUCUAGGUGUUCCCUGCAGGCUGGCUGUUAUGUAACGUCUGUGCAGGGAGCAUCGCGUGAGAGCGAGAGGAUCAGAGAGGAAAAACCCAGAGACCAAAGUGUCUCCUGGAAAAGGAAGGGGAAAAAAAAAAAAAAGACGACUAGCCAUUUGUCAGCUCUUUUCCUGGGCUUGUUUGCCUGAGUGAUAAACUUCGACUGCUGGCAUACAAAGCCCAUGGCCGGUUCAAGUGAGUGCUUGUGUUUAUAUUAUACAUAAGACAGGACGUGCUGUACACGCAGGCCCAUGCUGUGCAGCUGCAACCUGGGUCCUCCCAUGAGACUCUGACCAGAAACUCUAGCCCCUCUCCUGUGGCCUAGGAGGAAAGGACUUACCCCCUCCACACUCAGCACUCUCUGUGUCUCCCUCGCAUGUUCAAUCAGUGGCCCAGGGAGCCUCUCAAUCCUGCUUAGAGAAUCAUACAUCCUACCCCCCUCCUUGGACUUUCCUCUGGCAAUUUCCAGGUGGCCUUGACUCUCCAUCAGAGUUCAGGGUCAAGAGGCAGCUUGAUGUCCACAAAGGGGGGCUGCUCUCCCCCACAUUUGCAUCACCUGGAUGCCAUGUCCCAGGCUUAAAUGUUAUCCAUCAUCUCCUUUGUGGGGAAAUGAAGGAAGGUGGGAGUGGUGUGUGUCCUUCUUUAUCUGCCCCAGCAUUUCCCCCAAGCUUGUGCUGCAGAACACCUGCCCUGGAGACAUGAGAAGAGACUGUGUGGCAAAUAAAAUAGGAUUGCCUAACCGGAUAUUUUGCUAGAAUAUAUUUUGCUAGUAUCUUUUGCUAGAGUAUAGAGUAUAUGCUAUAGUAUAUAUAUAUAUUUUUUUGCAUAGAGUAUACUCUGCAUAUUCUACCCUCCUCUUGGAAAGUUUAAAUGCAUGUUAUCAUAGUAAAACCCUGACAUGUUUGCAGUAAAGAAACCUACCUCAUUUUGGUAUAAUAUCCCCCCACACCUAUUUGACUGUUUGUCUACAGGCUCUGUGAAGACAGAGACUUGUCCUGUAUUUUUUAUGAUUGAAUUUGUAGUUCACAGCCCUGUUUUGGGUCUUCAACAAAUGUUUUAAAUUAAAUUGAAGCAAAUUUAAUUGACCAUUAACAUCCUACAGAACUAAGGUGCCCUGGACCAUACAUACUGUGGUGAAUGCUGUUCUGUGUCAUUCACUAAUUCUAUUAAUUGCAAUGAAUAGAGAAGAUUAAAAUGUAGACUCUGUGGUCCUCAUAUAAGAAUAGGCUGCAGGACUUCCCGUCAUGGCUCAGUGGUUAACGAAU